GAGUCUAAAUGGUAAGAACAUUCAGUUAUCCGUACAAUCACCAAUCAAUAAUUUAAUGCAACAUAUCACAUAGCAUAAAACAUUAUCUUUUGAGUGCCAUGGACAUAAUGCAAUGCAUAAAGAAUCCUACCCAACCAUCCUCUACACACGACGAGUUCCCCAGAACCCGUUUGCCAAACUCCAAACAUUACGAGCUGGGCUCAAUGUGGUUAAACAACCAUUAUACGUAAUGCAGUUAUACUACCAUUUAAAACACAAUAUAAUCGUCAUUCUCCUCAUUAAUCCUGGUGCAGUGCAUUGAUAACAUAAAUGCAAACUUAAUAUGCUGCAAUUACUCCACGAAACUCCUUUUUCAUCCACAAUAACCC
rnacentral:lncRNA from 1 species